rnacentral:rRNA from 1 species
GCUACAAUGGCCGGUUACAGACGGACGCAAAGCCGCGAGGUGGAGCAAAUCCUAAAAAGCCGGUCUCAGUUCGGAUUGCAGGCUGCAAUUCGCCUGCAUGAAGUCGGAAUCGCUAGUAAUCGCAGGUCAGCAUACUGCGGUGAAUACGUUCCCGGGCCUU